GACGAACGCUGGCGGCGUGCUUAACACAUGCAAGUGGAGCGACGAACCAGGGCUUGCCCUGGGGCAGAGCCGCGAACGGGUGAGUAACACGUGGGUUACCUGCCUCGAUGACUGGGACAACCCGAGGAAACUCGGGCUAAUACCGGAUGUGACCGCAAGGGGAAAGGAAGCUUCGGCCUCCGCAUCGAGAUGGGCCCGCGGCCCAUUAGCUUGUUGGUGAGGUAACGGCUCACCAAGGCCGCGAUGGGUAGCUGGUCUGAGAGGACGAUCAGCCACACUGGGACUGAGACACGGCCCAGACGCCUACGGGAGGCAGCAGUGGGGAAUCUUGCGCAAUGCGCGAAAGCGUGACGCAGCAACGCCGCGUGGGGGAAGAAGGCUUUCGGGUUGUAAACCCCUUUCAGUUGGGACGAAGCUUCGCCGAUGAAUAGUCGGCCGGAGUGACGGUACCUUCACAAGAAGCACCGGCUAACUACGUGCCAGCCGCCGCUGUAAAAC
rnacentral:rRNA from 1 species